GGGCAAGCGUUAUCCGGAUUUACUGGGUGUAAAGGGAGCGUAGACGGCGCGGCAAGUCUGAAGUGAAAGGCAGGGGCUUAACCCCUGAACUGCUUUGGAAACUGUAUGGCUGGAGUGCAGGAGAGGUAAGUGGAAUUCCUAGUGUAGCGGUGAAAUGCGUAGAUAUUAGGAGGAACACCAGUGGCGAAGGCGGCUUACUGGACUGUAACUGACGUUGAGGCUCGAAAGCGUGGGGAGCAAACA
rnacentral:rRNA from 1 species